UAUUCGAUUAUUUAUUUCAAUUCUAUUUGGAAAAAAAUCACGGAAUAUACAUAUAAGUAACAUCUAAUUGUAUGAUACAAUGCGUUUGCAUCUAUUGCGAAAUUAUUCGUAAGUAUUAAAAACAGACGCUUCUCUACUAAUAAUACAGAAGAUAUAUUUUAUUGUUCUUAUUAAUACUUCAGCUUAAAUCGGACACAUACAAACGUAUUGUCAGCUAGGAUGGUUUCUCAUGGCGCGUGAAAGCACGAACUACACUACCUAUUAUGAGAAAACAUGCAUCUUAGGCUGAGAUCUAAGAGCUUACUUUGACUUUGCUCAGAUUUAAGUUUCAGUUAAAACGAUACGGAUUUAUGUCAGCGAUAUAACGCUGUCUCGUUUUAACAGUGUCUUAAGUCUCAGCGAAGUCAAAGUUGGCCAUAUAAAUUUCAGCCUUACAGGACUCAGACGGCCUAUAGGUACAUAUAAAACACUCAAAGGACAGCGAAUGACCACGAAUAGGGCGAAAUAAAGAGAUAGUGACGCUCGUGAAAUCAUGUACCAUGAGGAUACACCACAAUGAAACUAUAAUACAACAGCAGUCCAAAGAUAAACAAAUCAUUGCAAAUAAAUAGUAUUUCGAUAAACGUAUAAUUUUAACUAGCCAUAAUAGUAACAUUUUCAGUAAAGUUGAGAUAAAAAUAUUUCAAGAUUUCUAAUAUUCGUUCAAAAAAUGGUUGAGUAUAAAGAAGGGAGCAAUUACCUAAUUAUUUAGAGAAUAUGAAAAAAUGCAUUUUUUAAAUUGAAUUAGUGAAUAGGAAUUUUGGGAGUAUAAAUAAUAGUGAAUACAAAGUAGGCGUUAACUGUAGAGUACUUUACUUACCAAUUCAAAAGAAAACUAGAAAUAUUUUCAUCUCAAACUAUACAACAAUUUUUGGUGAACAAAUCACAAUAACUUUCAAGCAAUCAAAGGCUACAAAAACAAUGACUAACAAUGAAAGCUCAAAAAUUCGAAAUAUCGAUAAUAUAAUAAGCGAGACAACACAAUAAUCAUAAUGGUAAAAUAACAAUCACAGAAGAGUAGGUACCAUCACAAAAGCAUAUUAUAUACAUAUACACAGUACACACACAAAAAGACUACAUUUCAUAAAAGUAUAAAAAAACUAUUUUCUAUAAUAAAAAUUUUAGCUUGCAUCUAGCGAAUACCUGCCUAGUCAAAGAACUAAAUAAAAAAUCAUAAACUUCAACGACAAAUCCUGACGAAAGUUCUAUAAACCUGUCUUGAUAUUGCCUAUUUAUAGGAUAAUGAAAAAAAAAAUAUAUCGCCAGUCAAUGAUUUAUAGAGCGCAUUUUGACUUUGCUCAAGCUUAAGACACUGUUAGAAAAAGACAGCUACAAGCAUAUAUAGCUGUCUCGUUUCUCAAACUUAAACUGCGCAAAGUCAAAGUCAGCUUUAUAUUUACAUAUAGAUUUAAAGAGCCCUUUGCACACGACGACUUUUUCACGUGCAUUUGAACACGGACUAUGGACGGGUGCAAACCUAACUUUGUUGCUGACUGUACAAGGAUAAGUACCAAACCUUAAACUUGGCAAUUGCCAUAUUAUGCAGACGGUAUUAUAUUCUUGAAAGACCCAUAAAAUAUUUAUAUCAAGAAUAAUAAUCUAAUCAAUCAGCUAGAUACCAUUAAAAUUUUUACUAUACCUUUAGUAUAAUAAGUCAUCAAAAUAAAAUUAUCUAAGUAUAUUAAUUAAAAAUUAAGUUGAUUAUACAGCGCAUUAAAUUGAAUAAAUUGUAAAAAUAAUAAAUAUAAGUACCUACCUAAAUAAAAUUCAUUAAUUAUUAUGAACGUUAACACUGAGAUAUUGCGAUUUGCUUAAAUAAAAGUUUACGAAACUUACACAUCAGUGCCUCAAAAGUGUAACACUGGUUAUACAAUUAUACGGGUAUAUAUAUACGAUAUAAAUUAUAUAUUAUACAAAAACUGUCCAGCAGAGUACAUAAUAUACAUAAACACAAGCUUUAAUUUAUUUGAUAAAAAUAAUGACAUGCAAAAUUCCUACAUAAUAACAUUAAAAACAAGGCUUAGUUUACACUGUUUUGCAAAGAACAUUUUUUUUUGUCGUUAUCCAAAAAAAUGUGAAUUAGUCCGCAAGAGCAUUUAGCAAAUAAAUAUCCUGAAGUAAUUGCAUCAAGUCUGUGUCAAAAUGAAAAUCGACUCCCGCUUUUACAGUUUCUUUCACGUACCUAGAGGUGGGUAAAAAUGACGUGACUUGCCAAUUACUGUCACUCAAAGAGAUUUCUUUCCUAUCAUGUUUUCGCUUUUGAAGGAUAGACUACUAUAGUUGUAUGUUGCGUCAAUAAUAAAUUAUUUUUUAUUGAUUUUACUACACAGAAGGUUUUCAAAAUACCAUUACCAAUAAUAGCCAUUUUAAAUUAUCGAUCAAACUAAAAAAGCAAGUUUAUGACCUCACAUUUCUGUAUUUCAUGCAAGCUUACAUGUGAAGCACACAUUUUGACGUUUGAAUAACAAGUUACUGAUUUGACUAGUAUCAUUUCCAAUAAUUUCAUGUUUACAAUAGGUCAAGUCUAAAAAAAUAAGUCGCGAGGUAAAAAUAACAUAGCUAAGUAUAUGAAAAUGCUAAGAACAUAUUUUAUUCUCUCAUCUAAAUAAAAAAAGUAUCGAAACAACAAUGUAACCCAAGCCUUACCACGAUAGUGUUAAGCUUCCGAGGCACACUCGAUCCUAAACCUACGUUUUAUAAUACAUUAAUAUCACAAUAUGGCCUACAGCGGCCCAUUAUACAUACACAUACAAUGAUAUCAUACAUUGAUAUUAGGUAACAGUGUAGAAAGCAUGUAAGACAACCAUUAUUUUAUAUUAUUUCAUCUAAAUAUGUUAUAGACUAAGGAAAAAGAUAGACGGCAAAACGUCAGAAUAUAAAGCCGGAAUGGAGAGCACAAUUUUGAUUUUUAACAAAAUAAGCUGAUCGUGUAGCAAUGUCGCUUCGGUCACACUAAAGUUGAUAUCUAUAGAGCGUACUUUGACUUUGCUCUGAUUUAGUUAAUAGAGACAUAACCUGUCUCGGUUUAACUUUGCCUGUCUGAGCAAAGUUAAAGUGCGCACUACAGAUUUCAGCUUUAAUAUGCGUCCCGUAAAAGUGCGUCGCAUCCAUUUAGAAGAUAAUUUCAUAACGAGUUAAACGCUAUAUUCCCUUAACUCAUAUAUAUUUGAUUAUAAAAUUAUAUUUGAUUUCCAAAAAUAACAAUUUGGUGAAAAAGCGCGGACGCAUACGAGAACGCGUUUAUAAGCAAAUGCUCCGUCUAUUUUUUCUCUUAGUCUGUGCUAAAUGUAGAUAUUAGGAAAUCGUAACAUAGUAAAAACAUUCGAGUAACCUCCUUACCAAAAAUCUAACAAUUGUAAUCGGAUAUAAAUCCAUUUGGCUAAUAAUUAAAAAAAAAAAAACGAAACCAUUGAAAUUAGCUUUAAAUCUUAAAGCUAAAUAAGGUUCGUGCAAAAAAAUCGCCUUUUCAUGUACAAAAACUACCAAGCUUCGCCACAUCACUUAAAGCGGUUUUAUUCUGUAGAAACUUGGGAAUGAACUUCGCGUUCCCGAACAAAAUAUUAUUAUCCAUAAGGCGGAUCGUAUAGAGAACUUGUUCAAACGUUGGGGCCAAGUUUCAGAAUAACCCAAUCUUUCGACCACGUUCGUAUUGAACCCACAAGUUUGAGGAUAGACACAUGUUCAGGUGUUAGUUAAAUCAAUAUUGUGGCUAACUCUGUUGUACCCUAUCUCUAAAUUACCAGGUCGAAAUAUAGUGUUAUCCUUUUCUGCAGGAAGCAUUAUGAAAGCGAUAACAAUACAUUGAGAACAGCUAGUCGAUUAGGGAAAAACUGCAUCAAUCAUAAUUACAUCGCAAUUGAUAUGAUUGGCUGAAUGUAUGGUAUUCUUGUUGCAACAAUGCAUUGUAGCCAAUAGUGAGCGAGCGUCAACCAAUCAGAUGUAAUUGCGAUCGUCACACUGUAGCUGUCAUUUAAGCGCAACCGAGGUGCAG